UCGGGUGUGGUGCACGGCCCACGGCGGCUUUGAAUGGAGUGAUUCCAGUGUGAUUAAGCUGCAGAUCGGGGUUCGACUCCCCGCACCCGGA